UUAGAGUCCACUGUAAAAAUGACAUGAUGCAUUUACUAAUUUGCAGCCAGGACAAUUAACAUGAACCCACAGUCUGCAGCCCUAAAAGAUAUGAUUACAUCUUAAAGAAAACAUAACACAGAUUCAUCUGAAGAAGACAGAAGUAUGAUUAGAUAUCAUCAUUUUGCAUGUGGACAUCUUCAGUAGAGUGAAAAUAAAGUAUUGGCUUCAGAUUUCAUAAAGCAGAAGGAUUACAGGU